GUCUAGGCCACACCACCCUGAACGCGCCCGCUCCCCUCUGAUCUGUUGAAGCUAAGCAGGGUCAGGCCUGGUUAGUACUUGGAUGGAAUUCCGCCUGGUAAUAGAGGGUACGGUAGGCU
ensembl:rRNA 5S_rRNA 5S ribosomal RNA